AAGACUAUAGACCUGCGGAGUACCUGCGGAGGGAUCAUUAUAGAGUUUUCUAAACUCCCAACCCAUGUGAACUUACCUUUUGUUGCCUCGGCAGAAGUUAUAGGUCUUCUUAUAGCUGCUGCCGGUGGACCAUUAAACUCUUGUUAUUUUAUGUAAUCUGAGCGUCUUAUUUUAAUAAGUCAAAACUUUUAACAAUGGAUCUCU
rnacentral:misc_RNA from 1 species